rnacentral:rRNA from 1 species
CGAAUGCUGACAUAAGUAACGAUAAAGCGGGUGAAAAGCCCGCUCGCCGGAAGACCAAGGGUUCCUGUCCAACGUUAAUCGGGGCAGGGUGAGUCGACCCCUAAGGCGAGGCCGAAAGGCGUAGUCGAUGGGAAACAGGUUAAUAUUCCUGUACUUGGUGUUACUGCGAAGGGGGGACGGAGAAGGCUAUGUUGGCCGGGCGACGGUUGUCCCGGUUUAAGCGUGUAGGCUGGUUUUCCAGGCAAAUCCGGAAAAUCAAGGCUGAGGCGUGAUGACGAGGCACUACGGUGCUGAAGCAACAAAUGCCCUGCUUCCAGGAAAAGCCUCUAAGCAUCAGGUAACAUCAAAUCGUACCCCAAACCGACACAGGUGGUCAGGUAGAGAAUACCAAGGCGCUUGAGAGAACUCGGGUGAAGGAACUAGGCAAAAUGGUGCCGUAACUUCGGGAGAAGGCACGCUGAUAUGUAGGUGAAGUCCCUCGCGGAUGGAGCUGAAAUCAGUCGAAGAUACCAGCUGGCUGCAACUGUUUAUUAAAAACACAGCACUGUGCAAACACGAAAGUGGACGUAUACGGUGUGACGCCUGCCCGGUGCCGGAAGGUUAAUUGAUGGGGUCAGCGCAAGCGAAGCUCUUGAUCGAAGCCCCGGUAAACGGCGGCCGUAACUAUAACGGUCCUAAGGUAGCGAAAUUCCUUGUCGGGUAAGUUCCGACCUGCACGAAUGGCGUAAUGAUGGCCAGGCUGUCUCCACCCGAGACUCAGUGAAAUUGAACUCGCUGUGAAGAUGCAGUGUACCCGCGGCAAGACGGAAAGACCCCGUGAACCUUUACUAUAGCUUGACACUGAACAUUGAGCCUUGAUGUGUAGGAUAGGUGGGAGGCUUUGAAGUGUGGACGCCAGUCUGCAUGGAGCCGACCUUGAAAUACCACCCUUUAAUGUUUGAUGUUCUAACGUGGACCCGUGAUCCGGGUUGCGGACAGUGUCUGGUGGGUAGUUUGACUGGGGCGGUCUCCUCCUAAAGAGUAACGGAGGAGCACGAAGGUUGGCUAAUCCUGGUCGGACAUCAGGAGGUUAGUGCAAUGGCAUAAGCCAGCUUGACUGCGAGCGUGACGGCGCGAGCAGGUGCGAAAGCAGGUCAUAGUGAUCCGGUGGUUCUGAAUGGAAGGGCCAUCGCUCAACGGAUAAAAGGUACUCCGGGGAUAACAGGCUGAUACCGCCCAAGAGUUCAUAUCGACGGCGGUGUUUGGCACCUCGAUGUCGGCUCAUCACAUCCUGGGGCUGAAGUAGGUCCCAAGGGUAUGGCUGUUCGCCAUUUAAAGUGGUACGCGAGCUGGGUUUAGAACGUCGUGAGACAGUUCGGUCCCUAUCUGCCGUGGGCGCUGGAGAACUGAGGGGGGCUGCUCCUAGUACGAGAGGACCGGAGUGGACGCAUCACUGGUGUUCGGGUUGUCAUGCCAAUGGCACUGCCCGGUAGCUAAAUGCGGAAGAGAUA